AUAAACCCACUGAAAACUGGCUGUCUGGACUCGGGAGGACUCAGGACUCAGGAUUCAGGAUUCAGUAGUCUUGUUUUACUGAGAUGAAGUGUAAUUCUAAAUUUUUCAUGUCUCUCGGGCAAAAGAAGGACUGUGACUGAUGCUGAGCUGGAAGAGUUUAAGAGGCAGGGAGAGUGUCUGAACUUACCAAGGACUUUCAGACUGAGCACAGAAGGAGUGGAGGUGUUUGCCCGAGGAGUUUUCCCUUUUGUGCUGGGCUAUGCACUUGUUUGGAAGUUGUGUCGUCUCCCCGAUGGGUUGGUGUGUGACUCUCUUUCUGUGGGAGCUGCCCACCAAUCCGUUGAGUUGAUGAAGCCCCUGUCGAUAACAUCCCCACGACUAAAGCAGCGAUUCCACUUGCCUUUGACGCAGUGCUUCUAGAUGUCCCGUGACCUUGUAUUUUAAUAGAAACUUUAUGUCAACAAGCAGGAAAACUCAACUCAAAUACAAAUUAAAAAAAAAAAAUCAAACCGAGUUACAGA